GAAGGAAGCCAUGGAAAAUAGUUUCCAUCUGUCAAUCAUGAAUAGCUGGAAUACUGGUGGCCUUGCUUGUGGGGGUGGGGGACACAAAACCAGCUGGGGGAAAGAUUCCCUCUAAUGAUUUUCUGUGAAGUACAAGGAGAAAAGCCAUAAAACAGGCUUCCAAAACUGCUUCUCCAUAUGGUCAUCUGUAGAUGCAAGGUAGCUCUUCCAGGUGACUGGACGUGGAAGCUCUGGUGGUGGUUGAAAACUGAGAGUUGGUUUUUCUUUCAAAAUGGCUAAUGCGUGUAGAUGAACUAGUACCAUUUAGGCCUUUCUAGCAAGACUGUCAUAAGGUAGUGACCUAGAUAAAACACCCCACUGUCAAGACAAGCACCUUCAUUAUUCCUUUUUAGCUAGUGUGAUGGAGGGGCUUUGGAUUGGGGAGGACAAAUUUUGGUGUCUGCACAAGCCACCUUGUCUCUUGGGUGUUUAAUCUUUGAAUCCUUUCAGUCCAUGCCUGUUCUCUCUGCUCCUUCAUCAGCCUUCCUUUAACCUGGAGCAAGAGUGAACAUCUUCAUUUUGGUUGAAGUCUUAUUUCAUUUUAGACAUUCCUUCCCUGGUGGACUGUAUUGAGGGCUACUAAUUGGUGUCUCAUCUGGACCAGAUCUGUUCAGUUUAAAGCAAGGCUGCCACACUUUCAGACUUGUCCUGGGACCAAAGUAAUGUAUGGGGAGGUUCUGUAGCACCACACAAAGUAUGCUAACUAUUCAUCCUGUGACUUUUGACUAGAGAGUGAUGCUCUUGCAAUUGGCAAGUAAGAAAAAAAAGUUCCUGCCAACACAGAAUCAUUUUGCCCAAUGACAUAAUCCCUUGGUGGCAGUUUCUCUAUGUCAGGGGUCAGCAACCUUCUUCAGCGUGGGCCGGUCCGCUGUCCCUCAGACCAUGUGGUGGGCUGGACUAUAGUUUGGGGGGGAAAUGAACGAAUUCCUAUGCCCCACAAAUAACCCAGAGAUGCAUUUUAAAUAAAAGGACACAUUCUAUUCAUUUAAAAGCACGCUGAUUCCUGGUCCGUCCACAGGCCAGAUUGAGAAGGCGAUUGGGCCGCAUCCGGCCCAUGGGCCUUAGGUUGCCUACCCCUGCUCUAUGUAGAUGCUGCUUCUGUUUAGUGUUUCAACGUUAGGAUAGUUAUUAUUCCCAUUUUAAAGAUGAAAGCAUUGACUCUUACAGAGCAGUUUGCAUAAAGAUGUCCCGCUGAGUUCAAAGGUUGAAGUUGUGUUCGUGAUUCAGCUAAUGUUAUUGUGUGCUAGCACACCUAGUCUGCUUCACUUGCAUGCAGACACACACCUCUGGUGUGGUUAUGGGUUCCAACUGGGGCUGGGUGGAUGUAGGUUCCAAUCUCCCCAUGGCACUUCCUGCCAUGGUGCCCUUCCAAGCGCAGCCCAGACCUAGACCUCAUUCUGUUCCCUGGAGCCACAGGGUGACCUUGGACCCAGUCACUUUUUCUCAGCCUACCCUACCUUGCAAGGUUGUGAAGAUAAAAUGGGGCAUGGCCUUGUGUGGUUCCCUGACAUCUUUGGCAGAAUAGUGGGAUAAAAAUGCAAGCAGUAUAACCUCUUUGCCUUAAAGUCUGCCUCAUAAUGUAUGAACCAACCCAGGCACCUCCUUUGUGAGUUCUCUCCAAAAGGAGCUGUGGAGGGUGUCAACCCAGUCAGUUGUGCAGGAUACAAAUAAUAAAGUUGUUGUUGUUGUUAUUAACACGAGAGUGGGCUUCUUCAGUGGUGGCUCCCCAUUUGCAAUCUCCAUCUCUGGUUAGGGAUCAGGCCAGGAACAUUCCCAUUUUCCCUGGCUCAUUGGUUUUUAAUUGGGAGGGGAUCUUGAUAUGUCGGCAGCCCUUAAUUGUGCUCAACCUUUGGGUUGUAUGGGCUCUUGUCCCUUUUAGUUUUUUAGUUCUUGUUUGCUGCUUUUUAAAAAAAAUCUGAUUUUAAUGCCUUGGUUUCGUUUUUACUGUGCAAGUAGUCUUAGGCACGCUUGAAUGCAAAAACGUGACUGAUGGAUAUCAUUAAGAAUAAUAAAUAAGCAAUAUUUGCUAGGUAUGAUAAGCGUGGACACAUUUCCCUGAGUGGUUCAUGGGUUGUGCAGAAACUGGGAAAUUUGUGUGGGCAAGUAGCCUGGUGCGGAAGUGACCCUCUUAAUCCACACGACAGUGCCUUUGUGAGCACUGUGUGCUUGCAGCUCACCUCUAUCAACAUUCAAGAGAGCACCUUCACUUGCAGCAUCUUGGGUUUUUAAUUGGCUCAUCAGAAUAAAUAGGAUAAGCAGAAUUCGCUUGUUUCCUUUCAUGUGUUGAGCGGGGGAAGAGUGUCUGCCGUACUCAAGGUGCUUUCAGAAGCCAAAGUGGCAAUCUGUGUUUGUGUAAGAUGUGCGUAGGUUUUCUUCGUCUUUUUAAAUUCCAGUAACAAAGCAAAGCAAAAAUCACCAGGGACACACCAGUGGGUUUUUCCUUACCAAGGAGCGAUUGGUGCUUCUGAGUGUGGGAAUUGCCAGCCAGGCUUCUGAUGUUAACAUUAGUAAAGGGGAUUACCAAGACCAAAAUCUCUUAAGCUAACAUAUGCCCAAUUUACGUCAUAGUCCACAAUUUUGUUUCUUAAAAAAAGAGAGACUUGGUGGGGCUCAUAUUGACAAUGUAGAGAUGUUUUCCUGCUAUCCCUCUUAGCAAAAAAAGUUAGCCACGUUUCUCAGCAAUAAGCAAGCCUUGUUCCACCUUAGAGACGAGUAAAUUUAUUGCAUUUGCAUUAUGGGCCUGCGGUCCAUUUUAUAUAGGAUGCAUGAUUUAUUUUGGUGUGCAGGUCAAAAGCAAAUACGUACGUACACAAAAGUUUAGACUCCAAAGAAAGCUGAGAAAUGGACCAAUGUGUUUGUGUGGGGGGAGGUCCCCAUUCCAAUCCUUGGCAUCUCCAGCUAAAGUGUCUCCAAUCUGCUGGUGAUUGAAAAGGCCUCUCACUCCCUGCCUGGGACCCAUGGAGAGCUGCUGCUGGCCAGAGUAGACAACACUAGCCUAAGUGGAUAAAGACCCUCCUUUGGUAUAAUAAGGCAACUUCCUAAACUCUUGAUAAUGAAUACUUGUAGACAGAGCAGAGAAGCUGAAGUCUCUAGCGCUCCUUUUUAAGUGGGUCUUCCCCCAUAAUUUUCUUUGGCAGCUGAGCUUGAAUGGCUGUGCACAUGGCAGUCUUUCGUGCUGUGUUCUAAUCUUGUUUCUGUGCACCACUUUUUAAAAGUUUGCUUCUAAGAACCAGCGAUUAGGAAAACAGAGGAGCUGUAUGGCUUGGGUUUCCCCUCUGUAAGUUCUAAAUUGCUCUGUAUGUGUGUGUUGAGAUGGAUAUUUGUGGUGUUGUAAGGAUGGAAGGUACGUUCUAUUUUAUCUCAAGUACAGUAUUGGGAAUUUCCCUUGUCUCUGCAAAGUUACCACAGUAACCUUUAAUGUUCUUGAAAGUACAGUGUUGUGUGCAUUCCUUUUCACACAGCUAUUCACCCUAGCAGAUUUGAGAAAUCCAGAGUCUUAUAAUUUGCUCAGGCUUCCUUGGGAGUUUACAGUAUUUAUCCUUCCCUCCCGGUGCUUUCAACCAACAGAGGUGACUAGACAAUUAGGAACCAGAAUCAAAGUGUAAUCUUAAGUCUUGGUUCACUACAUUGCGACACAGUUCAUCCCACUCAAAGACUGCAGCCUUAAAACCUUUAAUUUGUGUAAGGUCCUGGCAGUUUGGCCGUGCAUGUGUGAAUGCUUAGACAACUGCUCAACAUACAAGUAAUUGGGGAGAGGGGGCCAUUCUAGAGACAUUGACAUGCAUAUCACAUACAUACCUGCAAAGAAGGAGUUUUGAGUGAAUGGAGUUUCAUGCAGCUAACUUUAACUGGCUUCUGCACACCUGUGUGUGCCUACCUGACAUUCAUCAGUGAUCAUCUCUUCUAAAAGAUGGGAAUGGCAAGACCUGAACUUGUCCAUUCUAAAUAUAUGUUCCUCACACCAUGAAAGUAAUUAUCCUCCCAAAUAACAGUGAUCAUGUCAGAGCUGGUUGGACAAAAUGCAGUUUUAUAGUGUUUGGUGCCUUGGGAAAAAGCUAUCCUCUGGGAUUUCCACUUUGCAGGGAAGAUUCUAGGCACUGGGACUAAGAAACUUGUCAAAAACCGAGAGAGAGAGCUUGCUUGCAGAGUCUGUGGGAAAGGAAUUAAAUUAUAGAGGGGAAACUUGCAGAAAAGAACAGUUAAUGGCAGUGGGAGGAGUGAACACUGAGGAUUUGCUCCAGGGACUUGCUUUUAAAUGAAGAAGUAGCCUCCUGGGUUAUGUGUAAACCUAAGUAGCCAUUUUGAAUUGCUGCAUUUGAAUGACUAGCAAUAGGGUUGUGUGCACCUUAACUAGAUCGUAUGCCAGUUUGCCUUGGGGGCAACAUCUUCAACAUCUGUAUCAGAGAUUACCGAGUGAGUGUUGGUAUGUAAAAUUUAAGAGCUACAAAAAAAACGAUUCAGGCAGUACAUUUUUGGUACUGCUUUUGGUGAUAAGACUUCCUCUAGCUUUACAGCAGAAUCCAUCAGGCUACAUGGCCUAAGCUUAGCAGGAAUACAAAGUUUUCCGCCACGCCAACAAGGCGGACCUCUUUCUGAAUUAUUGCAACUGGCCUCACAGCCAUUCUCAUAACUUAGACUAGGUGCAAUCAUGGCGGUUCUGCCUCUCCCCUCCAAAAGUGUAAAAAUAGCACUAAAAAAAGGAAGCUUGUC
rnacentral:lncRNA from 1 species